UUUUUUUUUUUUUAGAAUAGUUGAUCAUAGGCCAUUGUUUAUUUUAUUUUUUUAAGGUUAAUUCCACCUGUCCCCUUGGGUAACCAUAAGUUUGUUUUAAAAGUCUAUGAGUCUGUUUCUGUUCUGCACAUAAGUUCACUUGUAUCCUUUUUUAGCUUUCACAUAUAAGUGAUUGCAUAUGAUGUUUUUUUGGUCUAACUUUGUCUAACUUAACUUCACUUGUUAUGACAAUCUCUAGGUCCAUCCAUGUUGCUCCAAAUGGCAUUAUUUCAUUCUUUUUUAUGGUUGAAUAAUAUACCAUUGUGUAUAAGCACCACAUCUUCUUUAUCCUUUCUGACAGAGAAAAUAUGAGGAGUACUUAUCAUUUGAAAGACUUAAAGACUACAGCAUAAGUGUUGCCUAGAAACCUUUUAAAAAUAUAAAUUAUCUCAUCUCAACACAGACUUGCUGAAUCAGAAUCCACACUUCAAAGUGUCCAGAGGUAACUGACAUAUGCAGCCAUAUUUACAUCAAAGUUUGGGAAGGAUGUCCAGUGCUAGUCAGUGUGUAAGCAUAUGAACUAAAUUGUUAUUUCUGGUAACUAAUAAGAAGUAAGAAAUCUUGCCCUAUGAAAUAGCUUCUAGAACUCUCUUUACUCUCUGUGUAUUAGUUCAAGGAAACAUAUGCCACAUCCUACAAGGUUAUUGGCAGUUAUCUUGAGAGUACACUGGGAGUUUGCCUUAAGAUAGAAUUUACACUAGAAUAUAGAAUGGUGAGGAAGGAAAAAGAACUCAGUAACAACUUUGAACUGCUAAAGUAACCUGUCCAAAAGCUAGAAUCACCUCUGGGCAUUUAAUUUUGUGAGCCAAUACUUUCUUCUGAUUGUUAGAGCCAAACUGAGUUCAAUAACUUCUGGCUAAGGAACGGCAUGUUAGCUGAUAUAGUGUCAUCGAAGUGUUUACUUAAACAACAGAUAAUUUAAUAUUAGCAUCUAAAUUUUUGGUAAAAAAAAAUGUCAAAAAAUACACACAUGCACUGGUAAUCUGUGCAAGGACAUUUGGAUAUUUGUUUUUCUUUCAUUUAGAGAAGAAUAAUAUUUUGAACUACUUAAUAAUAUGUAACUAUUUUCCCAUUCUUCACACUCAUAUUUUCUCAUACUUGUAGCCUUCUCCAAUUUGGAUAGUGAAGGCAUCCAGUACUCACUACCUCAGGGAAAGUUUGUUACUUACUAGAGAAGUACAGAUUUCAGGAAUCUCUUCUUUGGAAAAAAAUCUUGGCUUGAAAUCAAACAUCAUUUUCUGAUUCAGAACACGUUUUGGCUGCUAAUAGGCAUCAAUAUCUCCAGCCUGGCAGCCGAAAGCAAAGGAGGUUUAUACAUUAGUAGAUUUUACACUGAAUAUUAUUUUUAUAUUGUACACUAUUCAUUUAGCUUUUAAAAAUAUUAUUUUCACCACUGUUUACAUCAUGACUGAAAUAAACUGUUGAAAUGCUUAAAAUAUUAAAGUAACACAACAGCGCUAUAGAGGCAAAACUUUUACAAUUCUAUUUUCUCAAUUGCAGUAAAAACUGGUAUUGUUUCAGAUACAAGCACAUAAGGCAGCCAAAGAAAUAAUAUCAUUUAAAUCUAUUAUACCUGCCACUAUUUGAUGUACACUAAAAUGUAUAGAAAAAGUAACUGCUAGUUCAGCUGUUCUUUGUUAAAAUAAACUGAAAAAUCAUUUAAAUUGGCUUAAGCAGAAAAGAGAAAUGAACUUUAAUGAUAAUGGGAUAUUUUCAGAAAAUAAGAAGUGAAUAAUCAUGGGGGGAAAUAACCAGGGAAUCUCAUUUUUUCUAAAGAUCUCUCUGGAUCAGGGUUUCUCAAACCUGGCCAUGGUGACAUUGUGAACUGAAUAUUUCCUUAUUGGGGGAGGCUGUCCUGUGGACUUAGGAUGGUGAGCAGAAACUCUGACACUGACGUAAUGCUAGGAGCCCCUCCUUUAGUGUGACAGCCAAGUGUCCCAUGGAGGCAAAAUUUCCCCUGGCUGAAAACUACAGCUAAAGAUAGUAACAGCCAUCAUGAAUCAUCUAGGUAUUGAUUUGAUAUAGAUAUAGUGGUCACAGAUGUAGACAAAAAUGGAGAUAUAGAAAUAGGCAUUGGUAUAGUUAUAACCCAUUUCUCAUCUUGACUUUCUCUGCAUCAUGAUUAAUUAAACCUUUUACAACCUAAAAUUCAGCUCCUGGAAAUAAAAACAGCUUAAACUCAUUUCUUAUGUCAUGUUAAAAAUUCCUAGGAACUCACUGACUCUUCUUAGUUCACAGGUCUCCCUCAGACAAACCAACUGCACUUAGAGCAGAGUGAGUCACAUCAUAAGACAGUAACACUUAGCAAAAUACAGGAUAGUGUUGGGAAAAGGGUAAUUACCAGAAACCCACGGCAUUCAUUCCAAAGAAUCUUCAUGAAAUAGAAAAUUAUCAAGGAACUCAUUUCAGGAGAUUUUCCUGAGCAGAUAGUCGACGCCUUCAAAGUGAAAGGACUUUAAUCAACUUUCUGGAAACAUGAACAAAAGUGGAUACAGAGAUGGACACCUAACACAUCACUUUAAGAUACCAACUAAAAACUUCUAAGAGAGAAAAAAAAGAAAGGUUAUCAACGAAAGAAUAAGAAUCUAUUUGGCACUGGUCGUCUCAUUUACAACACCUAAAGUUUAAAGGAAAUGAGGUCUUAAGUGUCUGUGAGAGACUACCCUCAGCCUGCAAUUUUAUAUCUAUUAAUCCAAAUUUUGUAGAAAAAAAAAGAUAUUUUAAGGCAUCACACAAGUGAGCUCACAUUCAUACAUUUUUAGGAAAUCAUGGUGAAUUUAUAGUAAAAAUAUUAAAACAAGCAAUAAAGAAGAAAACAUGAGAUCUGAUAAUGAAUCUAAAAAAAUAGAAAAAGGGAAGGGCAGGGCAAAAAUAACAAUUUCCAAUUUGGUUGGGACAGAGGUGGAGAAAAUCUAAGACUUUGAGAAAGCGUAUUUUGCAGCAGAAGUAUAACUAAAACCUUAAAAGAUGUCGAGGAUAUGAUAAUAGCAAAAUUUUAGGAAAAAAAAAUACUCAUUAACUUAAGAGAAAACAAACUGUGGGAGAACAUGAGGACAACAUGAAAUGAAAUAAGUCAUAAUUUUGAAAAAUCACUGGAGCAUGUACAGGAAUGUUAAGAAUAUUCUCUAAGUGAGCAAAAGACUGAUAAAUUUGUUUGGAACCAUAGAGAACAGAGCCUCUAAUUCUGUAAUGAAUACUAUGUCUCUAUAGCAGUGAAACAUACAUAUAUUAUUGUUUUCUUUUUGGUUCAGGUUUAUUGCGGUGUGAUUUAGGUACAUUAAUUUCACCAUUUGUAGACAUACGUGUUUGGUGAAGUUGACAAAUGCAUGCAGUCCUGGAACCACUACCAGAAACAAGAUAUAGAAUAUUUGCUUCAUCCUCAAACCUGCUCUUGCAGUCAUUGAUGGAUAGGAUUUCUGCACUAUUCAAUUUUUCAGAAUCUUGUAAAUUAAAUCUUACAGUAGGUAGUCCUUUUCUCUAUCUUCUAUCUCUUGUUACCAAUAUUAAUCAAAUAUGUCGGAAGUGUGUUUUGUUUUAUUGCUGAUAAAUAGUCCAUUGUAUUGGUUUAUUACCAGUCCUUUUUGGGGGUUGCAAUGGAUCAAUCAGAAACCACACAAUAACUUGAACAUGAUAAUUUUGAUAUGAAAAUUGGAAUUGAAAUAGUGGAGGCUUGACUAAUAGGAGACAAAUGGCAAUAGACACCACGAGCAGCCAUCACAUUGGAUCUGAAAUUAAAUACCCAAGGAAGAGGCUACUCUCUCCUUGGGCUGAGAACCAAACCUCAUUGGAAACAGGAUUCUUACACCUCACAGGAUGCUAAAGAAGUUUGAUAAUACACUGGCCAUGCUCACUAGAAAUCUACUUUCUGAAAUGCUGGGGGAACCUGGAAUUUACCACGAGUCCCCCAAGUUUUGUUCUUAUUUAAAAUAAUUUUGUCUCUUCUAACUUCUUUAUUUUGCAUAUAAAUUUUAGAACUGGCUUGUUAAUAUAAAUAAAGAAUGCUAGGAUUUAAAUUGGAAUAUUGUGGGAUCUCCAGAUGAACUUAGGGAACAUUAUCAUUUUAACUGCAUUGAAACGUCUGAUCCAGGAACUCUAUUUUCUUUAAUUUUAGAUGCAACCUAUAUACCAAUAAUUUCAAUAAAUAUUUUUUUUUAAACUCUCAAAAUUAGUGGCCAUAGAGCUAUCAUCUAACAUACUUAGUGGCAUUGGAAAAAAUAUUUUUUUAGGUGGAAAAUAGUGAAUUCUGUCCCCCUCCCCUUUAGAAGAUAAACCUCAUAAAAUCUAACAUCACAUUUAUUAGCAAGUGUAAUUGACUCUGGGAAAUACUGCUGUCAGAGAUAGUAAAUGCCUUUGAACAUAAGGGGAUGAUAUGAGACUGAAAUCGGGUCUAUAGUAAAAACAUACAUGUCAAGAGUUUGAGUCCCCAGUCUCUUUCCAUCUGCUUGCAGUGGCUCUUUGAAAGAGCAGACACACGUCUCAUAGAUCCCCUCAGUCAUCUAACAUCAUCCCCAUGAAGAAAAUGGAAAGUUUACUUUCUGGUAGACGGGACUACCAGUCUGGAAUUGAAGCUCCCGUCUCAGGAGUAUGGGGCAUAUUGGAGGCUGUAAUUUAGGGCCUGUGAUGAUAUGAAGAAAAACAAGCAUUAGAAUAAAAGCCCGCCAUCCUCGCCUUUGCCUGUCACCAGCAGAUUAGGGCAUUCUUUUGGGGGGAUAAUAAAUGGCCUCCAAGAAAACGAAGACUGAUAUUAAUGGUUUUGCAGGUAUCAUGUUGCAAUAAUUGUAUUUACCUGAUUGCUUUAGUAAAGAUUACUAAUGGACAAGUUCCAUUUUUACAUACAGAGGGUCCAAAGUGUGUUUUGUAUUAUAUUUUAAAUUACCAAUAGGAAGGUAAGGAUCACCAGAUAUGUUUGGAAAUUUUCUAAGUGAAAGGUUUCAAAACAAACCAAAAAAGUAGGUCUAAGGAAAUCGCAUAAAACACAUACAUAGUAGGAAAAUUUAGAAUUCUUAAAAUUAUAAAAAUAAUACCCUGUGAGAAAAGCAAUACAUGGACUUGGAGAACAGACUGGUGGAUGGACUGGGAGCUUGGGGUUAACAGAUGCAAACUGUUGCAUUUGGAGUGGAUAAGAAAUGAGGUCCUGCUGUGUAGCACAGGGAACUACAUCCAGUCACUUGUUUCGGAACAUGAUGGAGGAUAAAGUGAAAAAAAGAAUGUGUGUGUGUGUGUGUGUGUGUGAGAGAGAGAGAGAGACUGGGUCACUUUGCUGUACAGUAAAACAUUGACAGAACACUGUAAACCAACUACAAUGGAAAAAUAUAAAUAAUUCAAAAAAUAAUAAUACCCUGUGAGAAAAUAGAAGAUGAUGUGUCCAAGGGAAAUAACAGAAAGUAAUUUUUCAGUUAAAAAUUGCAAUAAGUAAAAGUUCUUAACAUCUGAAAAAAAUGUAGGGAAGGAAACAAUAUAGAACAAAAAAUACACUAAAAAGAAGGAUUUUAAAAUCAUAGGAUUAACCCAGAAAUUCAAUAACUGAAUAGCAAAAUUCAGAUAUAAAAUGUUUCAGAUGAGAAGG
rnacentral:lncRNA from 1 species